CAAGCGGUGGAGCAUGUGGUUUAAUUCGAUGGUACGCGAGGAACCUUACCUGGGUUUGACAUACAGUGUGAUAGGUCAGAGAUGAUCUAGCGUAGCAAUACGACGCUGUACAGGUGCUGCAUGGCUGUCGUCAGCUCGUGCCGUGAGGUGUUGGGUUAGGUCCCGCAACGAGCGCAACCCCUACUGCCAGUUACUAACAGGUGAAGCUGAGGACUCUGGCGGAACUGCCGGUGACAAACCGGAGGAAGGUGGGAUGACGUCAAGUCAUCAUGGCCCUUAUGUCCAGGGCUACACACGUGCUACAAUGGGUGAGACAGAGUGACGCGAAGCCGCGAGGUGGAGCAAAUCGCAGAAAACCUGUCUCAGUCCGGAUUGAAGUCUGCAACUCGACUUCAUGAAGGCGGAAUCGCUAGUAACCGCGAAUCAGCAGGUCGCGGUGAAUACGUUCCCGGGCCUU
rnacentral:rRNA from 1 species